GCUGAGAAGCGAUCAAAAAAAAAUGAUAUCUGUUCUUACUGGAAAGAUGUGUUUAACCUCCCUUAAACCCUGUAAUCUCGAGACAUGCACAAAGGAGGAGAUUUUGGAAUACUUUGAGAACACCUAUGAUUUGGAUGAAACCCUUUUCAGUGCACUCAAAGAUGAAUCCAGCUUCUACUUGUGCCCAGAACGAUUGCGGUUGCCCCUUAUAUUUUACUAUUGCCAUCCUCCAGUGCUCUACAUCAAUAAAUUGUUGCUCAGUGGCCUCAUAAAGGAACAAGUGAAUCCCAGUUUAGAAGCUCUGUUUGAGACGGGAGUGGAUGAGAUGUCCUGGGAUGACACGGAGAAUUAUCGAAUGGGCGGAAGUUUUAACUGGCCCAGUUUGUUGGAGUGCAUUGAGUACCGAAGGAAGGUACGGGCCAUUGUUCGCAAAGUCAUCCAGGAAACUCCGUUGGAACUUCCAGUAACAGUAGACAGUCCUUGGUGGUCAGUUUUCAUGGGACUGGAACACGAGCGAAUCCAUUUAGAAACUUCAUCUGUGCUGAUUCGUCAAUUGCCAAUUCACUUGGUUGAAAGGCCACUAGGUUGGAGAUAUGCCUCAUCAAAUAAUGGAUUAGAAGCAUUUGACAACCCUCUGAUCAAAAUCCCAACUUCCCAUGCUGCUUAUGGAAAACCAAGGAAUUUCCCAUCUUAUGGCUGGGAUAAUGAAUAUGGACAGAUGACAACAGUUGUCCCAGAGUUUGAAGCCAGCAAAUACCUAAUAACGAAUGGGGAAUAUCUGAAGUUUGUGCAGGCUGGAGGAUAUGGAAAGAAAAUUUACUGGACCAAAGAAGGCUGGGAGUGGAGGACGUUCCGUCAGGCGCAUCAUCCUACAUUCUGGGUCUGUACGAAAGGAUGCAAGUCUGGCUGUGGAGCAGCCCUUGCAAGUUAUUCUCAUUGUCAACCAGAUAAAGCCACUAAAAUCACUAGAGAAGCGAACUGCACAGAAGAACAUCCGAGCGGCAAACAGAACGGAUGGUGUUUGAAUGGUGUUGAAGAGGUCAUCUCUGUUGAGGAAAGAUUGCCAGAGUACAGGUACAGAGCUAUGUUUGAUAUCCUCCCAAUGCCCUUGGACUGGCCAGUGGAAGUCAACUAUCAUGAAGCAAAAGCAUUUUGUACGUGGAAAGGCAGCGGACACCGCCUCCCAACAGAAGCUGAGCAUUAUCUAAUGCGUGCUGGCAGCCAGCCUUUGGGAGAUAGCAUUACUUCUGAUCCAAUAUUUUGUGAUGAUUUAAAGAAGAAAAUUAACAUCAACAUGGCUUUUGGAUCUCCGACGCCCGUGACUAUGUAUCCACCCAAUGAGGCAGGUUUUCAUGAUGCAUUUGGCAAUGUCUGGGUUUGGACAGAAGAUCAUUUUAAUGGGCUUCCAGGGUUUGAUACCACGUACCUGUAUGAUGACUUCUCCAGCCCCUGUUUUGAUGGCAGACAUACAAUAAUUCUGGGUGGUUCUUGGAUCUCGACAGGGGACGAGGCAUCACGAUUUGCAAGGUUUGCCUUCAGGAGGCACUUUUUCCAACAUCUGGGUUUUCGCUUGGUCAGAACAUGUGGUCUGAUGAAAACCUCCGUGAGAGUGGUGAAUACUGAGACGGUUACUCCAGAUAACUCAAUCACUGUUCCCAAGGAGACUGUACAACUGAUCACCGUUUCCAGUGCCAACACUCAGCUGCAGUAUGAGACGGAUGUUGCUGUGCAGGAACAGCUUGAACUGGAGUACGGAGACCUGAGCAAAGCAGGUUACUACAACCAGUUGUAUGGAGUGUGCAAACGGGUGGUCAAGGAACAGCAGCUAGCUGGGAGCACGUGCCUUGUUCUGGGCAGUGGAACUGGCCUCGUCUCCUUCAUGUUAACCCAGUUGUUUUGCAAGGUGAUUGGGAUAGACUAUAGUGGACGAUUCAUUGAAAUUGCACAACAACUAAAAUAUUCAGGACACCAAAUCUCUAAUGUGAAGGUUCCAGAUUAUUUGGACCGAGAUAGGGUGAUAUUCAAACAGCUGACAUGGAUUCCUAAUGAAGUUGGACAUCAUAGUUUUAUACUGCUUGAUUUCCUGGAUCGUACCCUUAAUCCCUCAGAAUUAGUCAACCGUCCCCUCAACUCUCAUAAAAUAGUAAAGCCAUUUUGAGUUAGGCACUUCUUCCCUGCAAGUUCCAGCAGAGAUUUAACUUCCCUGCAAGUCCCAGCAGAGAUUUAUCUUCCCAGCAAGUUCCAGCAGAGAUUUAUCUUCCCUGCAAGUCCCAGCAGUGAUUUAUCUUCCCUGCAAAUCCCAGCAGAGAUUUAUCUUCCCAGCAGAGAUUUAUCUUCCCUGCAAGUCCCAGCAGAGAUUUUUCUUCCCUGCAAGUCCCAGCAGAGGUGCACUUCACAGAAAGUCAAUAUUUUUAAAAAGCUUUGCUGUUUUGUUUCAAUGAGCCUUCAGAAUGUAACCUGCAUUGCUGGGAAAUGAAUAAUAACCUGCUGCUGUUACACAGAGCAAGUGGAAGAUGUUGCUACAAUGCAUGGAACUGAUUGAUUGCUGGUUAUAUAUUAUUUAAAAAGCUGCUUUCUUUAUCUGCCAG